rnacentral:misc_RNA from 1 species
AUGAUCAAGAUAUGCUUCUUUCCUUUGCCACUGAGUGUGCGAAUUCUGUGGUACCUGCAUACAUUCCCAUUAUAGAAAAAAGAAAGGAUAUGCCAUUCACUGAUCACCAUAAAGCAUGGCAACAGUUACGAAGGGGGCGCUAUGUAGAAUUUAACUUGGUUUAUGAUCGGGGUACAACAUUUGGGCUGAAGACGGGGGGUCGAAUUGAAAGUAUUCUUGUCUCUCUACCACUAACUGCACGGUGGGAAUAUGACCAUAAACCUGAACAGGGAAGUGAAGAGUGGAAGUUAUUGGAUGCGUGUGUCAAUCCAAAAGAAUGGAUCUAAUUUUCCUCCGAAUAAGCAUGAUGUUUAGACUUUUUAUUUCUCCUCAUUUUUUCCUGCUUUGCUUCUAUCUAUAUUAUAUUUUAUUUAGCAGAUGUUUUUGUAGCUGAAAUAAGAAGCCUAGCAUAAAAGCUGCCAUUUACUAAUCAUGAAAGGUAAAAUGGGUUUUGGUUUCAAAACAUGCUAUUUACUUUGAUCCUUAUCGUUUGUAAUGAUCACGAAAAAAAAUCUGGCG